GACGAACGCUGGCGGCGUGCUUAACACAUGCAAGUCGAACGGAAAGGCCUGCUUUCCCUUGUGGAUUGCGGGUACUCGAGUGGCGAACGGGUGAGUAACACGUGAGUGAUCUGCCCCCAACUUGGGUAUAAGCCUGGGAAACUGGGUCUAAUUCCCGAUAGGACUGCAGGGUGGUGCCUGUGGUGGAAAACGAUUUUCUUGUGGUGGGGGAUGAGCUGGCGGCCUAUCAGCUUGUUGGUGGGGUAAUGGCCUACCAAGGCGGCGACGGGUAGCCGGCCUGUGGUGGUGGACGGCCGCAUUGGGACUGGGAUACGGCCCCGACUCCUACGGGAGGCAGCCGUGGGGGAUCAUGGGCAAUGGGCGGAAGCCUGAUGCAGCGACGCCGCGUGGGGGAUGACGGCCUUCGGGUUGUAAACUCCUUUCGACCGCGAGGAAGCCACCUGGUUGGAAGGGUGGUGACGGUAGUGGUAGAAGAAGCACCGGCUAACUACGUG
rnacentral:rRNA from 1 species